UACGUAGGGUGCGAGCGUUGUCCGGAAUUAUUGGGCGUAAAGGGCUCGUAGGCGGUUUGUCGCGUCGGGUGUGAAAACCCAGGGCUUAACCCUGGGCUGGCUUCCGAUACGGGCAGACUAGAGGGAUGCAGGGGAGAACGGAAUUCCUGGUGUAGCGGUGAAAUGCGCAGAUAUCAGGAGGAACACCGGUGGCGAAGGCGGUUCUCUGGGCAUUUCCUGACGCUGAGGAGCGAAAGUGUGGGGAGCGAACAGG
rnacentral:rRNA from 1 species